rnacentral:rRNA from 1 species
UAAUCUGCCCCUGAAUCUGGGAUAGCGGUGCGAAAGCGGUGCUAAUACCGGAUGACAUCGAAUUGACUUCGGUUGAUUGGAUCAAAGGUAGCCACUCCAUGGAAGCUACUGUUUGGGGAUGAGCCCGCGUACCAUUAGCUUGUUGGUAGGGUAACGGCCUACCAAAGCGACGAUGGUUAGCUGGUCUGAGAGGAUGAUCAGCCCACUGGAACUUGGAACACGGCCCAAAACUCCUACGGGAGGCAAGCAGUGAGGAAUUUUGCGCAAUUGAGGGAAACCUUGACGCAGCAACGCCGCGUGAGUGAUGAAGGCUUUCGGGUCGUAAAGCUCUGUCAAGUGGGAAGAAAUCCCGGGAAGUGAACAGUUUUUCGGGUUGACGGUACCACUGAAGGAAGCACCGGCUAACUCCGUGCCAGCAGCCGCGGUAAUACGGAGGGUGCGAGCGUUAUUCGGAAUUACUGGGCGUACAGGGCACGCAGGCGGUCAUGUAAGUCAGAUGUGACAGCCCGGGGCUUAACCCUGGAAGUGCAUUUGAAACUGUGUGACUUGAGUAUGGGAGAGGGAAGCGGAAUUCCUGGUGUAGCGGUGAAUGCGUAGAUAUCAGGAGGAACACCCGUAGCGAAGGCGGCUUCCUGGACCAAUACUGACGCUGAGGCGCGAAGGCGUGGGGAGCAAACAGG